AUCAUCCUAGAGCUUGAUAGAAAGCUUUUCACUUACACUGAAAAAUUAAUUGUGCAAUUCAAUUUAGGCUGAU
rnacentral:tRNA from 1 species